rnacentral:rRNA from 1 species
GAUGAACGCUAGCGGCAGGCUUAAUACAUGCAAGUCGAGGGGCAGCACGGUUAGCAAUAACUGGUGGCGACCGGCGCACGGGUGCGUAACACGUAUACAAUCUACCUUAAACAGGGGGAUAGCCUUUCGAAAGAGAGAUUAAAUACCCCGUAAUAAAUUGAACGGCAUCGUUUGAUUUUGAAGGCUCCGGCGGUUUGAGAUGAGUAUGACGUCUGAUUAGCUAGUUGGUGAGGUAACGGCUCACCAAGGCGACGAUCAGUAGGGGAUCUGAGAGGACUAACCCCCA